rnacentral:rRNA from 1 species
GGAGGUAUCCGAAUGGGGAAACCCACCCAGUUUACUGGGUACCUUGCACUGAAUACAUAGGUGUAAGGGGCGAACGCGGAGAACUGAAACAUCUAAGUACCCGCAGGAAAAGAAAUCAACCGAGAUUCCCUAAGUAGCGGCGAGCGAACGGGGACUAGCCCUUAAGCUAGACAACUGGUAGGAGAAGGCUCUGGAAAGUGCCGCCAUAG